rnacentral:lncRNA from 1 species
AAGUACGCAGGUUUUUAGGAGCUUGUGUAUUUUAUCAUAUAUGGAUUCCUCAUUAUAUUCAUGUAGCAGAUCCAUUGUAUGAAUUAUUAUGUAAAGAUUAUCGAUUUAAAUGGAAAAAAAAGUAUAGGAAAGUAAUGUAAAAGCUAAAGAUGUUAUUGGUGAUACCUCCAAUUUUAAGAAAAAUUCAUUAUGACUAUAAUUGACAAGUAAUUCUUACUGUGGAUACUAAUCUUAUUACUAUUGGAUGGGCUCUAGAUCAACAUGAC